CUUAGGCCCUGUUUCUCUGUGACACUGAUGCUUACACUUGGGGGCGGCAAGGACCGCGAAGUGCAUGUUUGGGAAGCAUUUUUGCUGAAAUCCAAAUAAACCUCUUUUAAUGGAAGAAGUUCUUGC